rnacentral:rRNA from 1 species
AGAUUGAACGCUGGCGGCAUGCCUUACACAUGCAAGUCGAACGGUAGAGUAGCAAUACUCGAGAGUGGCGAACGGGUGAGUAAUAUAUCGGAACGUGCCCAGUCGUGGGGGAUAACGUAGAGAAAUUCACGCUAAUACCGCAUACGAUCUACGGAUGAAAGCGGGGGAUCGCAAGACCUCGCGCGAUUGGAGCGGCUGAUAUCAGAUUAGGUUGUUGGUGAGGUAAAAGCUCACCAAGCCGACGAUCUGUAGCUGGUUUGAGAGAACGACCAGCCACACUGGGACUGAGACACGGCCCAGACUCCUACGGGAGGCAGCAGUGGGAAUUUUGGACAAUGGCGAAAGCCUGAUCCAGCAAUGCCGCGUGCAGGAAGAAGGCCUUACGGUUGUAAACGUAGCUUUUAGUAACGGAAACG